GGAAGGAUCAUUAUCGAAUUUGGAUCCGAAGGGGAGGACGGGCGAGCGAAGUUUGCAGAAGCAUUAGAGAUCGUCGCUGGCCUUUGGAAACAAAGGCAUGUGCACGCUCGACCCUCUGCUUAGUCCUCGUUCUCUUUCCUUUCGUAAAUCUUUGACACCCGUGCACCUCUUGUAGGUCCCCGCAAGGGGAACCUAUGUCUUCAUAAACCCCUUUGUAUGUCCAGGAAUGUAUCUAAAGCGUCGAACGGCUUGGCUAAAUGUCUGGUCGGCGACGGUAAAGAACGCAGUACAACUUUCAGCAACGGAUCUCUUGGCUCUCGCAUCGAUGAAGAACGCAGCGAAUUGCGAUAAGUAAUGUGAAUUGCAGAUUUUCAGUGAAUCAUCGAAUCUUUGAACGCACCUUGCGCUCCUUGGUAUUCCGAGGAGCAUGCCUGUUUGAGUGUCAUCUAACUCUCAACCAUCCCUCGAUUAGUUUCGAGGUUUGGCUUGGAUUUUGGGAGCUGCCGGCGGCCCCUCGGGUCUUUGGCUCUCCUCAAAAGCAUUAGCGACGGUGGUGCGACCUCUCCCCCCCCGCGCAUGAACGGCCUUCGACGUGAUAAUGAUCGUCGUGGCUGGAGUGUGCUAGCUGGGGUUGUCGUGUUCGGCGCUUCUAGUUCUCGUCGAAAGACGAAAAUAUCGAAACUUGACCUCAAAUCAGGUAGGACUACCCGCUGAACUUAAGCAUAUCAAUAAGCGGAGGAAAAGAAACUAACAAGGAUUCCCCUAGUAACUGCGAGUGAAGCGGGAUGAGCUCAAAUUUUGAAUCUGGCGGUCUUCUGGCCGUCCGAGUUGUAAUCUAGAGAAGCGUCUUCCGCGCCGGACCGUGUACAAGUCUCCUGGAAGGGAGCGUCGUAAGGUGAGAUUCCCGUCUUUGACACGGACUACCGGUGCUAUGUGAUGCGCUCUCGAC
rnacentral:sRNA from 1 species